UGACCCCUGCAGUGUUCGUAUUCAGGGCGUGUAUUUGAAGGAACCGAUACCCGUACUGAGGGAGGAUCAGGCCUUGCCGGGCCGAACAUGCCUGCCAGCAGGAAGUUUGGACGCAAGCAACGAUCUGCCCACUUGAAGUAAUGGGUUCCCUUCAAUCGCCCCUUUUACGGCACAGGUGGAGGUGAG
rnacentral:other from 1 species